GCUUAACACAUGCAAGUCGAACGAGAAGCUGUAGCAAUACAGUUGUACAGUGGCGAACGGGUGAGUAACACGUGGGUGACCUACCCUCGAGUGGGGAAUAACCCGCCGAAAGGCGGGCUAAUGCCGCGUACGCUUCCAGGUUUACGGAUCUGGAAGGAAAGCCGUAGCUAGGCUAUGGCGCUCAAGGAUGGGCUCACGUCCUAUCAGCUUGUUGGUAGGGUAACGGCCUACCAAGGCUCCGACGGGUAGCUGGUCUGAGAGGACGAUCAGCCACACUGGCACUGCGACACGGGCCAGACUCCUACGGGAGGCAGCAGUGAGGAAUAUUGCGCAAUGGGCGAAAGCCUGACGCAGCGACGCCGCGUGGGGGAUGAAGGUCUUCGGAUUGUAAACCCCUUUCGGGAGGGAAGAUGGUCCUAGACAACUAGGACGGACGGUACCUCCAGAAGCAGCCACGGCUAACUUCGUGCCAGCCGCCGCGGUAAUAC
rnacentral:rRNA from 1 species